CUGAACUUGCCUGAGGCAAAGGAUGCUUUACCUCUUAAUUCUAGAUUAGUUUUAUGCUUUAUAAUGUUACAAUAUUCUGUAGCAUUGUGCUUUAUAAUAGCAUAUUUGAAAUCAAGGUGAUGCUCGGGAUGCAAGACACUGCACUAUGUAACUCUAAUCCUGGUUCUGUAUCUUCCAACUUGUUCAGAAAAGCAUGCACUGGGUUUAUUGGUCUUGCACUUUAUUUAUUUCCCAGAGUCUGUGAUGCCCGAGGCUCUAGUAGAUGGGAGAUCUCAAUUCAUCUGUGCAGUGGUGAGACUUGGCUGCGAGGAGAGAUGCCAACACUUUUUCAAAUUGCUCUAAGAAGAUUUUGAAGAGGCAUGCAAUCCACAGUAUCCUGUUCAGUCCCAUUGAAACAAUCAAGACCCUGGCCAUGCAGUUUGCCUUAACAGACAUUAGUGAAAGAAGGCUGUAUCAACAACAUCAAAUAUUAUCAGGCACCUGAAAAAUCUCCCAGAGAGGUCUGUCACAUUAGCACAUGUCAACAGUUAGCAAACAUGCUUACAUCAUUAUCAACCAUGUGAAGAUAACUUAGUGUGCAACUAGCUUUGUAACUGAAUAUUUGAAAAGUUGAGUGAAAUGUUAGUUUGCUUGUCUCACUUGUUUGCAUUGAGUGGCAUUGACAUGACGUUAAAAAGUGUUGGACUUGGUGAGCAAAGACUUGAGACUUGACUUGGACUUAUGACAAAACACUUAAGACUUGACCUGGAUUCAUGAGCAAAGACUUAAAACUUGGCCUUAAAUUCAUGACCAAAAACUUGACUUGGAUGCAUGAGCAAAGACUUGAAACUUGACUUGGACUCAUUACAAAACACCUAAGACUUAACAUGGAAUCAUGACCAAAGAUUUGAGACUUGGCUUGGACUCGUGACCAAAGAUUUGAAACUUGACAUUGGACUUGCAAUAAAAGACUUGUGAAUAUCUCUGAUGAAAACUAGAAAACUCUAGAGUGGAAAGAGAAUAAAUAAACUGAAAAUGG